CUUCUUUCAGCAGCAGCAGCAGCAACACUUAGUCAGACACCUCCGUAGCUUGCUAGACAAAAUAGCCGAACCAAUAAAGCUCUUUAGACGCUUUAGUGUAUAUUACCCACUGUGUUUUAAACCCUCGUAUGUCGUCUAGUUAGUAAUCCUAUUUCAUGUUAUAUUUACGGUGUUGUUGUUAUUAUUCAGCUGCCGGGCUGGUUAAGUUAGCAUUAGCCUAGCUAGCUAACAUCUCCGACCAUGAGUUCACUAAAUUACUCUCUUCCUGCUGAGGAAGAGGCGGUCUGCUGGACUGAGAAAGAAGUUCUCGUCAAAGAGGAGGAGGAAGAGAAGGAUGUUACAAUACAAAAACAAGUAGAGGGUGAGGCUGUUACAGGGAAAGAAGAAGAGAAAGACGUUACAGUAAAGAUGAGGAGGAUUCAGUUGUUGACGUGAAAGAGGAGGGGGAGAUUACGGACUCAUCGGAAGAGGAAGAAGAGGAGAAACCUGGAUAUCUGGGCCCGAUUUCCCAAACGCAAUUUAAGGCAUCCAGUGGUUCUAAAUAUUAACUUAGCCAUAAGAUGGUUUUGAGAAACCGAGUCGUGAUUACCACUGCCCAACCAGAAGAGCAGAAACUCUUCCUGAACCACCUCCUCCUGCUGGCCUUCGUAAAUUCUGAUGUUGAUGGAUAGAGACGGGACUAUCGUGGAUCCUCUGGGGAUCUUCAACAACAUCAUGAUGCUGACGAGGCAGAGAAGAGUCUCUCCAGAUCAGAACACCUCAAGAAACACAUGCAGAGACCCACAGGGAAGAAAUCUCACCACUGCUCUGACUGGGAAGAGUUACUCAAGAUCAGAUUCACUUAAACUACACCUGAGAAUACACACUGGAAAGAAUCUAAACUGCUGCUCUGACUGUGGGAAGAGAUUCACCUCUUCAGUAGACCUUAAAAUACAUCAGAGAAUUCACACUGGAGAGAAACCUUAUGGCUGUGAUCAAUGUGGGAAGAGUUUUACUCAGUCAAGUGGCCUGAUAUCACACCAGAUAACACACACAGGAGAGAAAUCAUAUAGCUGUACUCAAUGUGGGAAGUGUUUUGCUACAUCUUGUCUAUCUGAAGAUACACCAGAGAAUACACACAGGAGAGAAAUCUUAUAGCUGUAAUCAAUGUGGAAAGAGUUUUACUCAGUCAAGCAGCAUGAAAUCACACCAAAGAAUACACAGGAGAGAAAUCUCAUAGCUGUAAUCAAUGUGGGAAGAAUUUUACUCAGUCAAACAGCCUGAUAUCACACCAGUGGACUCACACAUGAGAUAACCCUUAUGGCUAUGAUCAAUGUGACAAGAGAUACUCUGAUAAAAUAUAUCUAAUCAAACAUCAGAACAUGCAUACAUGAAGGAGUUGUUUCCUGACAUCAAUGAAAUAUUGUCACAAUGUAGAAUGUUUUAACAUUGUAGUAGGAGUAUUUUAAUGAUGUCAUAAUGUAGCACCCUAAACGUUUGACCCCUGUUCAAUUUGAUAAAUUGAUUGCAGCAUGAUAUGGAUUUUAGUCUCUGGGGAAAAAUCCGGGCUCUGAAUUGAAAGAGUAUUAUUUAUGUGAUUUAACAAAAAUGUACUCACAAAAAAAGAGUUGUGUUACAUUUACCACGUUGGUGACUCUCUUGAAUCAAAAUGCAGCUAUCUGUUUACAUCUAUUACUAUUUAUGUAAAUUAACAGAAAGUGACUAACAAAAAAAGAGCAGGUGUGAUGUUGUUUGUAUGAUGUUGUCAUGUUUUGUUUAUUAAAUUAAAAUAUUUUCAGGUCUUUUUUCAAUGACUUGAUAAAUGAAUUUCAACAUACUUGCAGCCUGAACACCUGGACGCAGUAUAAUGAAUUGGUCUAGAAUCAAUUUUAUUAACAAGCCUACAUCACUCCAGUAUUUAUUGACAACAUUGAAGUGCUAAAUGUCCAAUACUGAAGAAGCAUGACUAAAAUCACAUAUUUCAAACAUUCAGCCCGACAAAGAUACGUUUUAUUAUUCCAUUUGCUUUUGAUAUUUUUACAAUUCAUGUCACAUUUAGUUUGACUUUAGUUUUUGUGUUUUCUUGAUGGAGAACGUAACAACAAACAAUGGAGUAAAACAAGUUAAUAAUUUGUAUUGGAUCCAAUUGUUAAUCUUUUAAUCAAUGACAUUUCCUUAAAAUGCUCAGUCUUUCAGUUAAGUUUCUGUUUGUUGUGUACUAAAUAUUUCAGUUUUUUUUCCUGGCGAAGCCAUUGUGUUGCAUCCAUGUCUGAAAUGUACUAUAUAAAUAAAGCUUGAUCUGAUCAUAUUGCAA